AUUCUGUUGUGAUGAUUUUAGAAUAAAAUUCACAUGUCAGACUUUAGAGAUUUUAAAAUCGAUGAGAAUGACAAUUCUUCUCCUAGCGGAUU